GCGGAGGAAAAGAAACUAACAAGGAUUCCCCUAGUAACUGCGAGUGAAGCGGGAAAAGCUCAAAUUUAAAAUCUGUUAGCCUUUGGUUGACCGAGUUGUAAUUUAGAGAAGCGUUAUCCGCGUUGGACUGUGUAUAAGUUUCCUGGAAGGGGACAUCAUAGAGGGUGAGAAUCCCGUCUUUGACACAGACUACCAAGGCUUUGUGAUGCGCUCUCGAAGAGUCGAGUUGUUUGGGAAUGCAGCUCAAAAUGGGAGGUAAAUUCCUUCUAAAGCUAAAUAUUGGCGAGAGACCGAUAGCGAACAAGUACCGUGAGGGAAAGAUGAAAAGAACUUUGGAAAGAGAGUUAAACAGUACGUGAAAUUGCUAAAAGGGAAACGCUUGAAGUCAGUCGCGUUGGCUGGAAAUCAACCUUGCUCUUGCUUGGUGUAUUUUCUAGUCGACGGGUCAACAUCAGUUUUGAUUGCUGGAUAAAGUGUGAGGGAAUGUGGCAUCUUCGGAUGUGUUAUAGCCCUUGCUCGUAUACAGCGGUUGGGACUGAGGAACUCAGCACGCCGCAAGGCCGGGUCUUCGGACUACGUUCGUGCUUAGGAUGUUGGCAUAAUGGCUUUAAUCGACCCGUCUU
rnacentral:rRNA from 1 species